rnacentral:rRNA from 1 species
UACGUAGGGUGCGAGCGUUAAUCGGAAUUACUGGGCGUAAGGCGUGCGCAGGCGGUUUGCUAAGACCGAUGUGAAAUCCCCGGGCUCAACCUGGGAACUGCAUUGGUGACUGGCAGGCUAGAGUAUGGCAGAGGGGGGUAGAAUUCCACGUGUAGCAGUGAAAUGCGUAGAGAUGUGGAGGAAUACCGAUGGCGAAGGCAGCCCCCUGGGCCAAUACUGACGCUCAUGCACGAAAGCGUGGGGAGCAAACAGG